rnacentral:rRNA from 1 species
UACGACUACAUAUCAGGCAUAUCAAUAAGCGGAGGAAAAGAAACUAACUAGGAUUCCCUUAGUAACGGCGAGUGAAGCGGGAAGAGCUCAAGUUUGAAAUCUUCAAGGUUUUACCUUGACGAAUUGUAGUUUAAAGAAGUGUUUUCUGUUGAAGUUUUGGUAAAAGUUCUUUGGAAUAGGACAUCAUAGAGGGUGAGAAUCCCGUAUUUGACCAGUUACUUUCCAGCUGUUGUGAUACACUUUCAAAGAGUCGGAUUGUUUGGGAAUGCAGUCCAAAAUGGGUGGUAAAUUUCAUCUAAAGCUAAAUAUUGGCGAGAGACCGAUAGCGAACAAGUACCGUGAGGGAAAGAUGAAAAGAACUUUGAAAAGAGAGUUAAACAGUACGUGAAAUUGUCAAAAGGGAAGCGUUUGACACCAGUGUUGUUUUCUCGAAAAUCAAUUAAAAAAUGCUUGAUUUUGUGUUGUAUUGACCUUAAAAGCUUUCUUCACUUUUUUCAUGUCUCUUUUAAUGCACUUUUCGUUUAACAAGUCAACAUCAGUUUCUUUUGUUGUAAAAAGGUCAUUGGAAGGUGGCUUUCUUUUCGGAGAAAGUGUUUAUAGCCUUUGACUCCUGCAAUCGGAGAGACUGAGGUCUGCAGCGUAGAUCCUUCUUGGAUUAGAUUCAUUUGUGCUAAGUUAUAGCUUUUCAUAGACAACUUGUUGACUAUGUUUAGUCAUUGUAGCUUACUCGCUUAUGUAAUUUUACCUACGCUUAGGAUGUUGAUCUCUCACAGUCGAGC